GGUUAGAGCGCCACGUUGACAUCGUGGAAGUCACUGGUUCAAAUCCAGUAUCGUCCA
rnacentral:tRNA from 1 species